GUAUUGUCAGCUCUGGGUUAAGC
rnacentral:piRNA from 1 species